rnacentral:rRNA from 1 species
GAUGAACGCUGGCGGCGUGGAUAAGGCAUGCAAGUCGAACGACCCUUGUGUUUACAUAAGGGGAGUGGCAAACGGGGUAGUAACAGGUAGGUACGUACUUGAAAGUCGUGAAUAACUCUGGGAAACCAGAACUAAUACACGAUAUCUCUACGGAGGAAAGAUUUAUCGCUUUCAAAACGGCCUGCUUAGUAUCAGCUAGUUGGUAGUGUAAUGGACUACCAAGGCUAUGACGCUUAGGGGAGGUGAGAGCCUGACCCCCACCAUUGGGACUGCGACACGGCCCAAACUCCUACGGGAGGCUGCAGUCGAGAAUCUUCCGCAAUGCACGAAAGUGUGACGGAGCGACGCCGCGUGAUGGACGAAGUCUUUCGGGAUGUAAACAUCUUUUGUACGUGAAGAAGUAUAUUGACAUUAGCGUAAGAAUAAGGGGCUCCUAAUCUCG